GGCUCAGGAUGAACGCUAGCGACAGGCCUAACACAUGCAAGUCGAGGGGGCAGCGCGGGAAUAGUUACUAGUCCUGGCGGCGACCGGCGCACGGGUGCGUAACAGGUGUGCAAUCUGUCCAUAGUCGGGGGAUAGCCCAGCGAAAGCUGAAUUAACACUCCAUGUGAAUCGAAGCCGCAUGACUUUGAUUUGAAACGCAAGGACUAUGGGUGAGCACGCUUCUGAUUAGCUAGUUGGUGGGGUAACGGCUCACCAAGGCGACGAUCAGUAGGGGUUCUGAGAGGAAGGUCCCCCACAUUGGAACUGAGACACGGUCCAAACUCCUACGGGAGGCAGCAGUGAGGAAUAUUGGUCAAUGGGCGAGAGCCUGAACCAGCCAAGUCGCGUGAAAGGAUGAAGGUUCUAUGGAUUGUAAACUUCUUUUGUCCGAGGGUAAAAAAGGCCACGUGUGGCUUCUUGCAAGUAUCGGACGAAUAAGCAUCGGCUAACUCCGUGCCAGCCGCAGC
rnacentral:rRNA from 1 species